GUUUGACCUCAAAUCAGGUAGGAAUACCCGCUGAACUUAAGCAUAUCAAUAAGCGGAGGAAAAGAAACCAACCGGGAUUGCCUUAGUAACGGCGAGUGAAGCGGCAAAAGCUCAAAUUUGAAAUCUGGCGUCUUCGACGUCCGAGUUGUAAUUUGAAGAAGGUUACUUUGUAGCUGGUCCUUGUUUAUGUUCCUUGGAACAGGACGUCAUAGAGGGUGAGAAUCCCGUGUGGCGAGGAUACCAGUUAUAUGUAAAGUACUUUCGACGAGUCGAGUUGUUUGGGAAUGCAGCUCUAAGUGGGUGGUAAAUUCCAUCUAAAGCUAAAUAUUGGCGAGAGACCGAUAGCGAACAAGUACAGUGAUGGAAAGAUGAAAAGAACUUUGAAAAGAGAGUGAAAAAGUACGUGAAAUUGUUGAAAGGGAAGGGCAUUUGAUCAGACAUGGCGUUUGCUUCGGCUUUCGCUGGGCCAGCAUCAGUUUUGGCGGCUGGAUAAAUCCUCGGGAAUGUGGCUCUACCGUGGUAGAGUGUUAUAGCCCGUGGGAAUACAGCCAGCUGGGACUGAGGAUUGCGACUUUUGUCAAGGAUGCUGGCGUAAUGGUUAAAUGCCGCCCGUCUUGAAACACGGACCAAGGAGUCUAACGUCUAUGCGAGUGUUUGGGUGUAAAACCCGUACGCGUAAUGAAAGUGAACGUAGGUGAGGGCCCGCAAGGGUG
rnacentral:rRNA from 1 species